rnacentral:pre_miRNA from 1 species
UAACUAACGGGAGAAGUUAUAACGCUGUAUGUAUCUAUAACCAUAAGCGUAUAGCUUUUCCCCUUGGUUA